UGGGGUGUAGCUCAGUGGCAGAGCACUUGCCUGGCAUGCGCCAGACCCUGGGCUUAAUUCCCAGUGCUGCAA
rnacentral:tRNA from 1 species